CAUCUGCAUUUGCCAGCUCGUCUGGUGGCUGCUCAGCUUCUGAAAAUGCCUGAAGUAAUAGCGGGAUGAGGAGGAUGGCAGCGGCAGCUGGAAUACUAUCACUGAGUAGGACAGCAACAUCUGUACAUGCUUCCCUG